UGUGUGUGUGUGUGAGUGUAUGUUUUUUGUUUUGUUUUGUUUUUGCGUUGUAGAAGUUUCUAAUAUAUUCCGGAUAUUAGCUCAUCAGAUAUGUGUUUUACAAAUAUUUCCUCCACAGUUCCACAAGUUGCCUUUUCAUUCUGUUGAUUUUCUUUUGAUUUAUAGAAAUUUCAAAUUUUGAUAAAGUCCAGUUAAAGUUUGUAAUUUUGAGGAAGCCCAUAUCUGUUUUUUCUUUUGUUGCUUAUAGUUUGGAAUCAUAUCUAAGCAUUCAUUACUAAAUCCAAGAUUUACAUCUAUGUUUCCUGUGAGGGGUUUUGUGGUUUUAGCUGAGGUCAUCAUUCAUUUUAAGUUACUUUUUAUACAUGGUGUGAGGUCUAAGUGCUAACAGCACCUGAUGUCAUAGGAAGCAUUGUAACAGAGUCAGAGAACAUUUAGUUAAGAAGAGUUUCAGAUUUCCUCUCUGGAAGUCAAAAACUGCAGAAAACUAGCCGAAUAGGCCGUCUUAAAACAGAAAC